UACGGGGGGAGCAAGCGUUGUUCGGAUUUACUGGGCGUAAAGGGCGCGUAGGCGGCGCAACAAGUCACUUGUGAAAUCUCCGGGCUUAACCCGGAGCGGUCAAGUGAGUACUGUCGUGCUAGAGUGCGGAAGGGGCUACUGGAAUUCUCGGUGUAGCGGUGAAAUGCGUAGAUAGUCGAGAGGAACACCUGCGGCGAAGGCGGGUAGCUGGGGCCGAACACGUGACGCUGAUGCGCGAAAGCCCAGGGGAGCGAACGGG
rnacentral:rRNA from 1 species